rnacentral:rRNA from 1 species
UGUGUAUCAGUACAUGGCAUAUCAAUAAGCGGAGGAAAAGAAACUAACAAGGAUUCCCCUAGUAACGGCGAGUGAAGCGGGAAGAGCUCAAAUUUGAAAUCUUAAAGGGUUUCCCCUUACGAAUUGUAGUUUAAAGAAGUGUUUUCUGUUGGAGUUUCGGUAAAAGUUCUUUGGAAUAGGACAUCAUAGAGGGUGAGAAUCCCGUAUUUGACCGUUACUUUCCAGCUGUGUGAUACACUUUCAAAGAGUCGGAUUGUUUGGGAAUGCAGUCCAAGAUGGGUGGUAAAUUUCAUCUAAAGCUAAAUAUUGGCGAGAGACCGAUAGCGAACAAGUACCGUGAGAGAAAGAUGAAAAGAACUUUGAAAAGAGAGUUAAACAGUACGUGAAAUUGUCAAAAGGGAAGCGUUUGACACCAGUGUUGUUUAGUUGAAAAUCAAUUAAAUAGUUUUUGAUUUAAGUAGUAUUGACUUCAUCAGCUUGCUGCUUUCUUCUCAGAAAUUAUUGAAUGCACUUUUCAGUUAACAAGUCAACAUCAAUUUCUUUUGUUGUAAAAGGGUAAGAGGAAGGUGGCUUGCGCUUCGGCUCAAGUGUUUAUAGCCUUUUAUCCUCUGCAAUCGGAGAGAUUGAGGUCUGCAGCGUAGAUCCUUCGGGGUUAGAUACAUUGGUGCUAAGCUAUAGCCUUGUAUAGACAACUUGUUGAUUAUGCUCAGUCAUGUAGCUUACUCGCUGAUGCUAUUUUACCUACGCUUAGGAUGUUGACAGCAGUAUAGACUGU